CCCCGCUCCCCGCAGCACCACCCCCUCCUUCUCCCCGCUGCGGCAGCAGUGCGCACCGCUCCGCGCCCCGAGGCUCCGCACGGGGCCGCUGCCGCGCACCUGGCCCGCAGUUUUUCCCACAGAAGGGCGUAUUCAGAUUCCUAAAGAAGGCUUUGAAAGGGAUCCAAAGAGGCAAUCACAUGCAUGUGCAAUUGUUUUUCCACCAGGCAAGAAUAUAUGGAAUGUGGAUGGAGUUUCAGCAUAGCUCUGUGCAUAGUUCUCUAAAAAUUCAGUACAACUAUAGUCAAAGAAGAGAAGCAAUCUGAGAACCUGAGUCUCUGCUUCAUAGCAACAUUGUUUACAGAAAGUUAGCAGAAAGUGGGAAGUCCAGAACUUCUUGGAUGUCUAAUUAACCUGUGCUACUUACUACAGGAACUUUGAAAAUGUUCACUAUUCUUCAUGAUUAUAAGGAUCCCAAUACAUAUUAUAUAUGAGCAAGAAUGUACGUACAUACAAUAGGCAUGAUCUACAAUCUUUCUGCAUGGGAAGAAGUAAAGCCCGCAAGAUUGUCCACACAUGCAAUCUGCAGCUUUAAAGAUGUGAAAAUGAGUUAACCACAUACUUUCAUCCAUUCGUUUAACUUACCACCUGGGCAUUUGCUCACCAGUCUUAGAAAACAGGGUAAUAUGUCUAGCUGUUACUAGCUAGAAAACUGAAUGAAUUCUUAGCUAUCAAAUUAGUCUCUGUCAUAACCUCCUUUACCCUGUGAUCUUUAAUAGUGCAAGAUAUGAUUGCACCCCUUUACCACAGAUUUAUUUCUAACUUAUAAGUAUAUCGCGUACAUUUUAUCUUUAAAUUCUAGAAAAUGAAAAAUCAUACAGGCAUAUUUGUUGAAUGUUUAUGGGUUUUAACAGAUAAUAGUGGAUAAUAAGCACAUGUCACUUUGGAAAGUUUAACAGUGAAAAAUAUGUUUUGCUUUCUGUUUUUACAUACAUGCAAAUAAUUCUCAGUGGCCCUGAUGCGUACUUUCAUAUUUAAUCAAAAUUAUACUCCAAGUAUGAGUAAGUAAUAUGACAAGGGAACUUCUUAUGCCUGAUAUAAAUCAACGAUUGCUGCCUUAAUUUAAAAGCUGAGUGAUGAUAAGAUACUGUGAAUCAAUAAAUUUGAGCUUCUAAUAUUACCCAGAACAUAAAACCUGUUUGUGCAUUAUAAUGGAGCAAUAAUGUAUCCCUUCCUAAUCACUGGCAUACCUAUCUUUUCUUUUCUACCUUGCCUAUAGCAAGCACAAUAAAAAGUUUGCAAAAUGUGAAGAAAUUCUGAUUUUUGUAUGCCUGCGUUAUGAAUCCCUGCAGCUAUUAUGAAAAGCACUAAAAUGCUUGAACUAUGAGAAUAAAACACAAUUUACAGAGUACAGUUUCUUAUUAUUGCCUUUGAAGAUAGCAUCAGUUGUCUACACAGACCCGUAAAAUGUUUUAAAAGUUGAAAGAUACACCUUAAUGCAUUUAUCUUUCCUUUCUUAAUAAAAGAUAAAAAAACCAACAACAGUCUGAAUGAUAAACAAACAAAAGCAAACAAUAACUUACUGCUU